AAAACAUACACAAUGCAUUUUAUCUAAUAUUAUCACAGAAAGCAUUGAAAUCUAUGCCAGAGUAUCCAAAGAUCCCCUUCUGUGUUUAAUCAUAGAAUCAUAGAAUGGCUUAAGUUGGAAGGAUCAUUUCCUUCCAACCCUGCUGACAUGGGCAGUGAUGCCAACCACUGGAUCAGGUUGCUCUGGGCCCCAUCUAAUCUGUACUAAACACCUCCAGGAAUGGGGCAACCACGACUUCUCUGGGCAACCUGUUCCAGUGCCUUACCACCCUCUGAGUGAAGAAUUUCUUCCUUACAUCUAAUCUAAAUCUCCCUUCUUUGCAUUUGAAACCACUGAAACCUCGUCCUAUGAUUAUCUGCCCAUGUAAAAAGUCACUUUCCAUCUUUUUGUAAGCCCCCUCAAGUACUGGAAGGCCACAGUGAGGUCUCCCUGGGGUCAUUUCUUCUGGGGCUGAACAUUCCCAGUUCUCUCAGCCUUCCUUCAUAGGAGAAGUACUUCAGCCCUUUGAUCAUAUUCAGAGUCCUCCUCUGGACCCACUUUAACAGGUCCACGUCUUUCUUGUGCUGGGGGCUCCAGACCUGAACACAGCUCUCCAAGUGAGGCCUCACAAAGGCACACUAGAGGGCAACAAUCACCUCCCUUGACAGGCUGGCCACACCUUUGUUGAUGCCGCCCAGGAUGCAGUUGGCCUUCGGGAUUGCCAUGGCCCCGGUGCAGCACCUUGCUCUUGGACUUGUUGAACCUCAUUUGGUUUGCGUGGGCCCACUUCUACAUGACAGGUAUGGAUCGAUAGACUAUAAGCAGUCUUGGAAGAGGAGGGCCUUGGAAGUUGUGAUUCCCUGCACAUCACUGAUAAGAACUCUUUGAAUCAAAAUAUGUUAACAAAGUGAAGACUUCAAGAACCAGAACCCAGGUUCUGAAUCAAGCCAUGGAUUCUCAUGGGUCCUCAACUGUAUGUGGCCAUGAAUAAGCAAAGCACUACUCUAGUGUGAUCUGUUUCUUGUUAAUUUCUCAGCAGAUGGCAGUACUCUACCCAUAGCCACCUAUUUCUUGUUUACUAUUCCUUCUUGGGGGUUUAACAUUUGUAGAAAUUGUUUCUGCCUCUUUUUUUUCUUUUUUUUUUCUUUCUUUUUUUUUUUUUUUUCUGUAAUCUAGCUUUAAAAAAAGACAGAAAGUUCUUAGUUUUAUUAUGGCUAUUUUGUGACUUGGUGUCACUGAUAUCUCAUUCUUUCUUGUGGUAUCUUUCAACUUGGAAGUGCCUAAUAUAUGUUUAGUUCUCAGUUUGCCUUAUUCUGAGAAUAUGG
rnacentral:lncRNA from 1 species